rnacentral:rRNA from 1 species
GACGAACGCUGGCGGCGUGCUUAACACAUGCAAGUCGAACGGAAAGGCCCUUCUUUUGUUGGGUGCUCGAGUGGCGAACGGGUGAGUAACACGUGAGUAACCUGCCCUUGACUUUGGGAUAACUUCAGGAAACUGGGGCUAAUACCGGAUAGGAGCUCCUGCUGCAUGGUGGGGGUUGGAAAGUUUCGGCGGUUUGGGAUGGACUCGCGGCUUAUCAGCUUGUUGGUGGGGUAGUGUCUUACCAAGGCGUUGACGGGUAGCCGGCCUGAGAGGGUGACCGGCCACAUUGGGACUGAGAUACGGCCCAGACUCCUACGGGAGGCAGCAGUGGGGAAUAUUGCAAAAUGGGCGGAAGACUGAUGCAGCAACGACGAGUGCGGGAUGACGGCCUUCGGGUUGUAAACCGCUUUCGCCUGUGACGAAGAGUGAGUGACGGUAAUGGGUAAAGAAGCACCGGCUAACUACGUG